rnacentral:rRNA from 1 species
UACGAAGGGGGGCUAGCGUUGUUCGGAAUUACUGGGCGUAAAGCGCGCGCAGGCGGUUCUUUUAAGUCAGGGGUGAAAGCCCAGAGCUCAACUCUGGAAUUGCCUUUGAAACUAGAGAACUUGGGUACGGGAGAGGUGAGUGGAAUUCCGAGUGUAGAGGUGAAAUUCGUAGAUAUUCGGAAGAACACCGGUGGCGAAGGCGGCGACCUGGUCCGUGACUGACGCUGAGGCGCGAAAGCGUGGGGAGCAAACAGG